rnacentral:rRNA from 1 species
UGCCGCGUGUGUGAAGAAGGCCCCCGGGUUGUAAAGCACUUUUGUCCGGAAAGAAAUCCUUGGCUCUAAUACAGUCGGGGGAUGACGGUACCGGAAGAAAAGCACCGGCUAACUACGUGCCAGCAGCCGCGGUAAUACGUAGGGUGCGAGCGUUAAUCGGAAUUACUGGGCGUAAAGCGUGCGCAGGCGGUUUGCUAAGACCGAUGUGAAAUCCCCGGGCUCAACCUGGGAACUGCAUUGGUGACUGGCAGGCUAGAGUAUGGCAGAGGGGGGUAGAAUUCCACGUGUAGCAGUGAAAUGCGUAGAGAUGUGGAGGAAUACCGAUGGCGAAGGCAGCCCCCUGGGCCAAUACUGACGCUCAUGCACGAAAGCGUGGGGAGCAAACAGGAUUAGAUACCCUGGUAGUCCACGCCCUAAACGAUGUCAACUAGUUGUUGGGGAUUCAUUUCCUUAGUAACGUAGCUAACGCGUGAAGUUGACCGCCUGGGGAGUACGGUCGCAAGAUUAAAACUCAAAGGAAUUGACGGGGACCCGCACAAGCGGUGGAUGAUGUGGAUUAAUUCGAUGCAACGCGAAAAACCUUACCUACCCUUGACAUGGUCGGAAUCCUGCUGA